UACGUAUGGAGCAAGCGUUAUCCGGAUUUACUGGGUGUAAAGGGAGCGCAGGCGGCUUUGCAAGUCUGAUGUGAAAGGCCGGGGCUCAACCCCGGGACUGCAUUGGGAACUGUAAAGCUAGAGUGCCGGAGAGGUAAGCGGAAUUCCUAGUGUAGCGGUGAAAUGCGUAGAUAUUAGGAGGAACACCAGUGGCGAAGGCGGCUUACUGGACGGCAACUGACGCUGAGGCUCGAAAGCGUGGGGAGCAAACAGG
rnacentral:rRNA from 1 species